rnacentral:misc_RNA from 1 species
GCAUUCUUCAGAAAAAAAGCCGGCUGACAAGCUAGAAAAAUUUUUCAUUUCUUUUCAAUUUUUCUCAAUUUAAAUGCGGGCUUUUGAAUGAUUUUUUAGAUUUGUUACUCAUCUGUGAUAAGCGGAUUUUAUAGGACGAAUAAGUCUGACAUGGAUGAACAAAAUCUCCUUCAAGAUAAUCCAAAUAAUCCAAAUCUCUUUCACACUGGUGAUACAGCAACAAUGGAUGUACCAUCGAUUCCUGAUGACAACGCUAAUCAAGCCGAAGAUAAGAAACAGGAAGAUGAGGAUAACGGGAAUACACAACGUCUAGACGUUAUGCAGACGGGCGUCUAUGGAAUGGAUUCAAUGACUGGCAGCAUGAUCGGUGGUUUAUCUGCCAGUGCAGAAUCUAUAGAAUCAGAGAAGGACGAAAAGCUUAGGGAAUUAUUGGAGAACCGUGAUAAUGGUAAUAUGGAAGAUAGUACCGAAUUUAUAAGUGAAUCUUAUCUAAUUAGUGAGAAGAAGGAUACUGUUGUAGAGUUUGAUAAGGGUCCUUUUGACGAUUUUGCUACUCUGUCCAACAUUGGUAGUCGACUAGAAGAGAAAUUCGAUUCUGGUGAAGUUUCAGAGAAUUUAAUUACGCCGGACGAGAAGCCUUCGAAAGGGGAAGAAAUCAGCGAGGAAAUGACAGAUCCCCAAAUUUCACUUGAUAAUCAAACUGAUUUAGAGGAAGAAAGACUUUUUAAGAGUGACGAAACGGAAGCAGACAAGUUGGUUUACCAAAGAGAUCUAAUGGACCAACAAAAUGAAUUAUCUCAAUUAUCUCAAUUAGAAGAGAGAGAUGAAAGUAAAGAGGCAAGUGCCUUGUACGAUGUUGGACAAAAAGAAUGUGAUACGACUGAACUGUUUCAAACUCGAAGUUUGAAAGAAUCAGUUCAGGUAGAAGUUCAGAAAACUGAAACUAAUUUGAUUAUGACGGAAGAAAGAGUCGAAACUGUUGAAAGACAGGUGGAAAUUGUUGAAAAAACGAGUCUUGAUUUCAACAAUCAGAUGGCACCAGCGUCGAAAAGUCUUGAGGAUAAUAGUGAUGAUGAAUCCCAAGUAUUAAGGGUAGAUACUGAUGAAUUUAAGGAACUGGAGCAACAGCCUAGAAUUGGAACUGAUGAUGAAUUUCUUAAUGAUUCCCAAACUUCAUUUAGCGACGAAGGUAUAUCUACGCCUAUAACAGCAGACGUUGCCCAAAUACAAGAGUCGAUGGAUGAUCGAGGAUUAUCAUCCCCGAUUCUAGAGAAUUAUGAGUUAUCUGUUGAAAAAGAACACGAUAAUUCAAAUAUUGAUGAUCAUACUGUUGAAAAACAAGAUCUCUAUGGCGAUGUACGAGACGAAAGUUCUGUUAAAAUGGAAGCAAUAGAAGAGGAAAAGCUUCUUGAAAUGGAUAUUAGUACUUCUAACGAGACUACUCCAAGUUCUUUCCAUCAGAAAGAGGAAGCGUGCGCUGACGAAAACGUUCAAUCACACGCUGAGAUGUACUCUUCAAGUGUUGUAGAUACGGAACUAAUAGAAUCGGCAGUUGUAGAAACAGUUCAAGAAGAUAAACUAAUUGAUGAAAACAAAGAAAGUUUCUUUGAUGAUAACAAAACGAAUGCUGAGGAGGAGCAAACACAAGAAAUUGUUUCCAAGGAAGAAUCUGCUAUCUUAGAAGAGUUGACAUUGGAGAGAAAGUCAACAGAUCUCACCGAGGAAGAAAAUUGUGAGUCAGUAUUAAAGAAGGAAGAAAUAACCGAUAAACUAGAAGAUUCAAUCAAUUCAACCAAAGAAACAGAUUUUGAAUUUAGAGAACAAGAUGACUAUGAGCAAAAUCAAAAAGAUUUCCUAGUCGAAAAUGUAACAGGAAUAGAACGGGAAGAAUCCACUGCGGAUAGUUCAGGUAUAGAGGAAACUAUCUCUGAGUCUCACAACUCACAAGAUUUGUUAAAAGAUCAAUGUCAAAUUGAUGAACAAUCAAUUGAUGAACAAUCUAACAAGGAUAAUAUGAGCGCAUCUCUUUAUGAUGAAAAAAUUGAAGAAACGUCUCAUAUUCAAGAUAAUAGAGAUGAGAAAGAAAUACUAACAUUUGAGGAGGAGGACGAAACACAAACACAGGCUAACUUCGAACAUUGUGAGAAAGCGGCAGAAGAUCUUUUGCCUGCUUCUAACAUAGGUGAGGAAAGAAGCAUUUUAAACCCUGAGGAAGCGCAUAUCGAACAAGAAAUAAGUCAAGAAGAACUCCAACUCAAUACACCUACUGAUCCAGAAGAGAUAGCGACAGCUCAAGAUGUAAAAACAACAGAAGGCGUCAUCGAAAGCGAACAAUUGCAAGAUAACAAUGUAGAAAGAGAAGAGUUAAAGGAUAUUGUCAAUGAAGAUAACCAAAACUCAUUAGCUUCUCUUGAGGAAUUAAAGGAAUCUUCUGAUACUAGAACGCAUUUAGAAUCUGAACAAAGUUUUGCAGCAGAUGAAGAGGAUUCAAAAUUGAGCAGACAGUUUUCAGAAGAACCUCAAGCAAUUCCAUCAACAUUUGAAGAAAAGACUGAUAUUCCUCCAAGUAUUUUGAAAAGCGUUUACAAGAGUCUUGAUGAUGAGCCAUCGAAUUUAGAGGAAAAUGCAAAGGAACAGGAUUUGGAUACAAUUGUGAAAGACAAUAUUCUUGUUUCUAGUGACGAAGAUGAUAAAGAAAAGGAAAAAGAAGAAUCAUAUACUCUGGAUGGCACAGGAGAUAAGUUUAAUGAGACUGAGAAAGUUAUCACAGAAGAGCAAACAGGUGAAAAAGAGAAUGUGGCAGAUUUUCAAGAGGCAGGUUUCGAUGAUAGACAAGCAGAACAUGAAGAAAUCAGUGUAGUAGAAGGUAAAGAAUUAGGUUUAGGAGAUGUGUCAGGAGAGCAUUUAGAAGACAAACAAGAAAUUGGUUUAUCUGAGAACCAAAAAGUUCUUUUUGAUGACAAAUCCCAAGAGUUUGCUUUAGACAAAGAGACAGAAUCUGUUGCAGAAGACCACACUAAAGAGCAAGAAGAAUCUCUUCAAGAAAAUCUUCAAGAUAAGAUUGAAGACAAGAUUGAGGAACCAUGCAGGCUAUUAGAAAAAGAAAGAGAUGAGAAACUGUUUGAAGAACAAAACGAAAAAGAUAUGGAAUAUGUGGAUCAAAAAUUGGACGAACCAACCGAAGAGAUACCACAAGAAACGGCCGCAAACACGAUGCAAGAGGAAUUUGCUGGUGAAAGCGUGGAAGAUAAUUCUGGAGAGAAGCAGUCUGAGAUUGCUGUGGAUGACGAAAGAAAUAAAUUCGAGGAAAAAAGUAUGAAAAGUGACCAAGAACUCCUAUCCACUGAAAUGGAUGAUUUUGCGAAAGAUCAAGAACUUCACUCUAUGGAUAGUGAUAUUUUAAUACAAGAUAAAAGUGAGCCUAAUACACCAAUUGAUUCGGGAGAGGUAAACGAGGAGUCUGAUGACGAAGAUGCUAGUUUAAGAGAGCAAAUAGAUAAUUCUAUAACAAAAGAUGAUACCUUGACUGAUAUUGUUGGCGUAACAGAUGAAAAAAUCGAAACGCAUGCGCAAUCGCAAAUGCAAACUAUAAGCGACGAGACCUUUGUUGGGUCAAUGCAGUCAGCACCAGGUGCAGAGGAUGUAACAGGUGUUGAUGAAAAAUUACCGAUUGAUGAGGAAAAACAUUCUACUACAACCUCGGAAGAGAUUAUUGAGGAAGACGACGUUCUCUUGAUGGAACAAUCUUCUUUGGAAAAUUCUGCGCCGGUCAGCAAUGACCAGGCACUUUUAGAUUUGGAAGACAAGCCUGAAUUAGAGACUAAUGAGUCAGAUGCAAACUUAUCGACUGAUGUUAAAACAAAUAUAGCUGAAAUUCAACAUGACCCAAUGGAAGAAUGCGGGACAACAAUCGAAUCGAAAACGGAGCAUAUUACCGACACAUCUUUCGCAUCAAAUGAUAAUGGCGAUGAGAACUUGCUGAAUAAUACUAGCACAUUGGAAGAUAAACAGACAGAAGAAAAUAUUGUUGUUGAAGAAGCAAUUAAAACAGAAAUAGAAAUAGAGGAAGCAGCAAAUGAAACUGUAGACGAGGCUAUGGAAGAAAUUAAAGAGAGAAUGACGGAAGAAGUUGAAGAGAGAAUGACGGAAGAAGUUGAAGAGAGAAUUACGGAAGAAGCUGAAGAGAGAAUUACAGAAGAAGUUGAAGAGAGAAUUACGGAAGAAGCUGAAGAGAGAAUGACGGAAGAAAUUAAAGAGAGAAUUACGGAAGAAAUUUCCGAGGAAGUUCAUGCUGCUAUAUCCACAACGGAAGAGCACUCAGAAAUUAACAAGAAAACGGACGAACUUUUAGUUAAUGAAGAAGACGAAACUUUAAGUAGAUUUGCAUCCUCUACUGAGACAAUAAAAAUGGCCGAUAGUUUUCAAGAAUUGAGUGAUAAAACAGAAACGGAAUUAAUAAAAGAAGCGGGACCAGCAGAAGUUAUUAAUGAAGCAAUUUCAGCAACGAAUGAGAUGGAAGAGUCUUUCCACCGUGUCGAAACCACUGUGAAUGAAAGCGUUGUUAUAACUACUUCCUCUAUAAAUGAAAGUCUAAACAUAGAUGAAAGUAAUUUUUCGAAGGAAAUUACUGUCGAGAAGACAAAUGGAGGAGAAUUUUUCGAGAAGAAAACAGCCCUGCCGUCAACUCCCCCUAGCUCCCCUGUUAAAGUUGAACAAACCUUAGCGAGCGGUGAAGUUAGUCCUCUAGAAGGAAUUAUUGAUAAGAAGCAUGUCACUCUUACUCAUUCAUUCAAUGCUGAGGACUUUUCGGAAGAUCUAAAGCCUAAGGUAACUCUUAGCCCUGAUGGCGAUGAUCUCUUUGUUGAAACCUCAGCCGCAGUAGUAACUGUAGCGGCUUUAAACACACAAACGGUAGAAAAAAGUGUAUCAAAGCCUCUGGAAUCUCCCGUUACAUCCGAAAAAUCUGAUACUAGCACGAAGAGUUCCACAUCUGCGAAAAAGGUACAAUUUACCAGAAAAGUAGAGACGCAAACUUCAACUAUUGCAGCUAAAACUAAAUCGAAACCACCACCAAGUCCAAAGACUUCCUCAAAACCUCCUUCAAAACCAGCGUCCGCUCCUGCUCCUAAGCCUAAAAUAACGCCUAAACCUACUCCUAAGCCUGCUAUUUCAGCUCCAAAGCCUAAGACAUCACCGACAAAACCAAAAUCAGCACCUGUAUUAUCAUCACCAGUGAAAUCUAGUCCGAAAAAACCAGUUCAAAAAGAUGCUAAGCCAGUAUCAAAGGCUAAACCUAUCAAGUCUAGUCCAGUUAAAUAUGCUUCUACAGCUGUGAGCGGUAACGGUAAUAUUCAUAAAUCUAUGGAUAAGAAAAGACAAAGGAGUCCUAGUCCGCAAAAGGCUUUGGAAAGCAAUAGAGGAAGAUCGAGAAAAGAGGCGUAUGAUGCUCAAGUACAAAUGGUAGAGCGACUCUAUUAUAGAGCUAUUGCAAUCUCACCUCAUCAUAAAACAGGAAAUCCAAUUACUGGAAUAGGAAUGAAAAGUACUGAUGAAAUACGCGAUUCAAUCUUGGCUGCUUCUCAGGGAGCAAGAUCUAGAAGUAAAAAUCCAUUAACUGGUGAAGGAUACGACAGAGAGAACACCAACCAGCAAGGGAAGGUUAGAAGUAAAAGUUGCGUUGCCAUAACCAGACGGAAAAACUUGACUGAAGCCGGAGAGAGUAGAGAAGAGAUCAAGGCACGAUACACUCGAAGAGAAAAUCCUAUUACGGCUAAUACUUAUGAUUCUUAUGCGGCUGUUUAUACUGAUAGACAACCAUUAAACUCUAGUGUACAUGAGAAUAUUCGGCCGGAAAGGAGAGAAGUUGUGAACACUGCACCGAAAGGUGAGAGGUCACGUUCGACCCCGAGGAAGCGAGUUCGUAGUCCAACACCCGCCAGAACAAAUCCAAUCACUGGCGAAGGCUAUGACGAACUCGUUCAACCUCUAUCUCUACCAAAGUCGUUUAGUCAUCACGGUGGCUUAUCCGGAAUACUAAGCACUUCAAGACCCAAUCCGAUAACUAUGAGAGGAUAUGAGAUAGAAUUACACAGGGGAAAAAGACGUUACGAUGUUGCUCCUUCCUCAUCACCUUUUGCUAUUUCAACAGACGAGACAUUUUAAAGAAAUGGUUCGACCUAAGUUUUCGAUCUUCUCCUUAUUACUUUUAUAUACAAAAAUCUUGUAUCUUUUCGGUUCCUCUUAUUUUCGAAGGUAAAGAAAGUGGAGUGAUUUCUGUUGUUUUCCUUUUAUAUCACUAUCUCUUCCCUUAAAAUGCACAUAUUUUAUUUCUAUACCUUUUUUAAUCUAUAUUAGACUAUAAUCUGCUAAUGAUUUCAACUAGUUUUUGUUUAAUAGCUAUAUACAGUAUAAGGAGUUUACUUAUUCCCGUUUUCCUUCAUAGAUUCUAUCGAUGUGGUUAAUGGAAUUCCUCAAUAAGGAGAAGGAAUAUGGUUGAAUCAAUUUCUGAAAUUUGGGCAAAUGUAUCGUCGUCUCUCACUAAAUUGCAACUGUAUAAAUUGAAAAAAAAUGCAUUGGGAAGGUUAUACAGUAUAUCUUACGUAACUCUCUCUUUCUCUACCUUUCUCCCUUCUCUCUCCUCUCAUUCUCUAUCAGUCCCUACUAUUACCACUACUACUACUACUACUACUAUUUCUACCUAGAUCUUCUCUAUCUCUAUCUCUCCAUCCACCUUUUAGCUUCAGCAAGUGCAAGUCUAUUAUGCAUAUACUAAUCCGCUCUCUAGAAUGUUUAAAUGUGUCAAUUCGUUACUACUAUUAUAUUCUAAAUAUACGUAAUAUAUGUUUCUUUUUGUCUAAAAUUUACAUAGAUUAGUUGUUUAGGACGUUAAACGCCCUAUUUGCUCUUGUUCUAAGUAAAAAUUGAUUUUUUUUACUGAUGGUGAAUUGGUUUUCGUAUUCUCAAUGCUAUAACGAGCACAUAUUUUAAUGGUACAUUCUGUGCUUUUAAAACGCUUAGUAAAAAAGUCUAAUAAAGGACAUUAAAAAAAACAUUUAUUAUUGAUUGGUGUGAGAGUUAAUGUAUGUAUGUAUG